CGCCUAAACGAAUGAACCGAUUUUAAUUUAGUUUUUUUUUGAUUUUUUUUAGAUAAAUAAUAUUAUUGUUUUAGCUCUAUACUGUACCACAAUUUAGAUUGAAAAUGUUGUAAUAAUUUACAUUCCAUUGUGAUAUGGUAAGGUUUUGUUAAUGAUAAUACAAGAUACUAUUUAUGAAUUCAUUAUUAAAUUGUUUGUUUGUGGAAUAAAUAUUGUAAUGGGUUGAAUUAAAAUCUGAAAAAUAAAGAUUGAUUUCAAUACAAUUAAGAGAUAGAUUUGUUUAUAUUUUUUAGGACAAUGAUCUGUUUGGAUUUAUUUAUUGGACUCUUUGAUUAUUAUUAUUAUUAUUACCUAUUAUUCUUUGACCCUGUGUUUGAAAUGUAAAACAUGUUUUGUUUUUAUUUUCAUAAUUUACCUGCAUACCAACAUUUUAUAAAUUGGAUUAUUAUAGAAAAUACGUAUUUUUGUUGUUUGAUUCAAAGCUGAUUUAAGCUACUAUAAACUAUUAAGUUGAAUUUCUUAAAAAGUCAUCUGAAAUUGUUAUGUGAUUGGCAAAAAACACUGUUCCUUUGUAAGUUUUUCGUUAUGUGCGUAAUUAAGCCUCUAUCGCCCUAGAAUACGACAGUUACUGACUUGGUCUGUAAAUAUGCAUGUAGAAAGUUAGUACAGUUUAAGAACUAAUAUGAUUGUAUAUUUUGACAUAUUAUCAACUCAGAUUUCUUUUUUAUUAAACUUAAUUGUCAUGUAUUAGAAUAAUAGGUCUAUUGUUGUACAUUCCGUACAUACAUUUUCUUUUAAAACACUUUUUAAAAUAUCAAUAAUUUAAAGUUAAGACUUAUAGACUUCACUAUUAUGUUAAUUGUGCUUCCCAUAGGAUGAUUUGUUGAUUGAGUUAAUAAGUUUAUCUUUUUUUUGUAAGUAACGCAAAUAUCAACGUUUGUUACGUUCCUGUAUGUAUGUGUGAAAAUGGACAGUAUAAUGUUUAGUUUAUUUUGGGGAAUAGAAUAUUAUGAUACCUACUGUAAAUAUAAUAGUGAUUGAUUUAGAAACGUAAUUAUUAGAUAGUGACGUUAUUAGUUAUUGUUUUGUGUAAUAUAUAAUGAAUAUUAUAUUGAAAGUUUAAUACUG